UUAAAAAUAAAAGGGAUUGACGGGGACACGCACAAGCGGUGGAUGUUUUUGUUUCAAGCGAU
rnacentral:rRNA from 1 species